rnacentral:rRNA from 1 species
UACGUAGGUGGCGAGCGUUGUCCGGAAUUACUGGGUGUAAAGCGCGUGUAGGCGGCAGGCCAAGUCGGUGGUGAAAGCGCCCGGCUCAACUGGGCGAGGUCCAUGGAAACUGGUCAGCUGGAGGACGGUAGAGGCGAGUGGAAUUCCCGGUGUAGUGGUGAAAUGCGUAGAGAUCGGGAGGAACACCUGUGGCGAAGGCGGCUCGCUGGGCCGGUCCUGACGCUGAAACGCGAAGGCGUGGGGAGCGAACGGA